UAGACAGUCUACAGCAGCUAUUUGAUUUUCUAAUCAGCAGACCUGGUUGUUUCAGUGCAAGAGGAGCUGUGGUCUGAGGUUGAGUGUGAAGUUUAUUUUCCAUUUGCUACUGAGAGAUGAGUUUACUCUUCACUGGAAAAAGACUCCUAAGUCAAUAUAGGAUUUUUUUGCUUUAAAAAAAAAGAAGGCCACAGAGAACGGCAAAAGGUAUUAGGAAGCAUUGUAGACAGAAUCCAAAAGCCGCCUAAUAUUUGUAAAGAUUAUCCGUUUUAA
rnacentral:lncRNA from 1 species